rnacentral:rRNA from 1 species
UACAGAGGGGGCAAGCGUUGUUCGGAAUUACUGGGCUUAAAGGGCGCGUAGGCGGCCCGUUAAGUCGAACGUGAAAUCCCCGGGCUCAACCCGGGAACUGCGUCCGAUACUGGCAGGCUUGAAUCCGGGAGAGGGAUGCGGAAUUCCAGGUGUAGCGGUGAAAUGCGUAGAUAUCUGGAGGAACACCGGUGGCGAAGGCGGCAUCCUGGACCGGCAUUGACGCUGAGGCGCGAAAGCCAGGGGAGCAAACGGG